AUGAAGUUUGCAUGGAGGGCUGGCCAGCAAGUCCCUGCUCCUGCCCUUGGCUCUCCCCAAGGUCAUCCCAGGUCACCAAGAUUCUUCCCGACUGAGAUGUGUUGCUCUUGCAGACCAAGAUGUUUAUUAAUUCUUCUAAUUCAAUACAUUCUUUGUCUACCAAGAAAACAGGAUAUACCAAGCUUGCAUUACCACAUGCAGAAUCUCUUACAAGUUGCAAGGCCGUGGGAGUUGGAAGACCUGGACUUGCUGCAAAUGUUCCUGGCAAUCUUGGACAAGCUCCUUAUCCUUCUUGUGUUGAUAAUCAUAAAAGACAUGCCUUACUGAGUCAUUUACCUCUUCAAGUCUCUGAUUACUUUAACCACUCAUAAUGGUCCUUUGAGGUAAGUAAGAUUUUAACCCUCCCUUUUACAGAUGAGGAAGCUGAGUUUGGAGAGAUUUAAUAACUUGU
rnacentral:lncRNA from 1 species